rnacentral:rRNA from 1 species
GACGAACGCUGGCGGCGUGCUUAACACAUGCAAGUCGAACGGAAAGGCCCUGCUUUUGUGGGGUGCUCGAGUGGCGAACGGGUGAGUAACACGUGAGUAACCUGCCCUUGACUUUGGGAUAACUUCAGGAAACUGGGGCUAAUACCGGAUAGGAGCUGCUGCUGCAUGGUGGGGGUUGGAAUGUUUCGGCGGUUGGGGAUGGACUCGCGGCUUAUCAGCUUGUUGGUGGGGUAGUGGCUUACCAAGGCUUUGACGGGUAGCCGGCCUGAGAGGGUGACCGGCCACAUUGGGACUGAGAUACGGCCCAGACUCCUACGGGAGGCAGCAGUGGGGAAUAUUGCACAAUGGGCGGAAGCCUGAUGCAGCAACGCCGCGUGCGGGAUGACGGCCUUCGGGUUGUAAACCGCUUUCGCCUGUGACGAAGCGUGAGUGACGGUAAUGGGUAAAGAAGCACCGGCUAACUACGUG